GUUUAGGAGUAAGUGUUCAGGAGAUAAAGUUGUGUUUGGAUGUCCUGACUUCCAGGACCAGGGGAUGAAAGAGGAGACACCAAAUUGUAAAGGAGAGCUGGGACCAGAAUUGAAGAGGACCCAAAAUCAGAGAAUGGAUGGUGGCUGGGCCCAGAGACCAGGGACCAGGGUAGUGAGUGAAGUCGCUCAAGUCUUGUCUGACUCUUUGCGACCCCAUGGACCUACCAGGAGCCUACCAGGCUCCUUUACCGUGGGGUUUUCCAAGCAAGAGUACUGGAGUGGGUUGCCACUUCCUUCUCUAAGGUACCAGGGUAAGAGCCGUGGAAACGGUGAAGCCAUUGCCAUGUAUCUGGCAAAGACAUCAGCACUCAGAGCUGGAAGGAAGUCCAGUGAGGUCUGCCAGGCUCCAAGGGGACACUGGAAUUGGAACCAAAUUCCUCUCUUUUAAGAAACUGGGAAGAACACAGUCUAAACGGAGUAGCAAGAGACCGAACUGGAUGACUUUCAACCCACCUGAAGAUCCUCCCACCUUGCUAAUUGCUUGAAGUGAAAUCCUGACAACUUAGUCCUUUCAAGAUGAAGAGCCUGUCCACUCUCACAGCUCAGCUGUCACUGCCCUUCCUCUCAGUCACUGGGACCUGCUGUUCGGGGCUUCUAGCUCCUACAGGAGCUCCUCUCACCCUGAGGCCCUUUCACAUACUGGUCCCCCGAGAGGCAUGUUGUCUCCCCAGCUAUCUACAGGGCUGACUUCUGCUCAUCCUUCAAGUUUCCUUUUUGAAGUCACCUCCACAGAGAGGUCUCCUUGUUCUCCAGGUCUAAACAUGCCUCCCUCUAGUUGAUUGUGCCCUUAGCCCGUGCCACAAGUUUAAUUAUGC
rnacentral:lncRNA from 1 species